rnacentral:rRNA from 1 species
UCCGGUCAUAUCACGUUGAAACACCGGUUCUUGUGCGAUGACCGAAGUUAAGCAACGUCGAGACUGGUUAGUACCUAGAUGGGUGAACGCUUGGAAAUACCAGGUGCUGUAAG